rnacentral:rRNA from 1 species
UACGUAGGUGACCAGCGUUGUCCGGAUUUACUGGGCGUAAAGAGCGCGCAGGCGGUCGUUUAAGUCGAGUGUGAAAGCCCCCGGCUCAACUGGGGAGGGUCAUUCGAUACUGAUCGACUUGAGGGCAGGAGAGGGAAGUGGAAUUCCCGGUGUAGUGGUGAAAUGCGUAGAUAUCGGGAGGAACACCAGUGGCGAAGGCGACUUCCUGGCCUGUACUUGACGCUGAGGCGCGAAAGCUUGGGGAGCAAACGGG